rnacentral:rRNA from 1 species
GAUGAACGCUGGCGGCGUGCCUAAUACAUGCAAGUCGAGCGAACGGACGAGAAGCUUGCUUCUCUGAUGCUAGCGGCGGACGGGUGAGUAACACGUGGAUAACCUACCUAUAAGACUGGGAUAACUUCGGGAAACCGGAGCUAAUACCGGAUAAUAUUUUGAACCGCAUGGUUCAAAAGUAAAAGACGGUCUUGCUGUCACUUAUAGAUGGAUCCGCGCUGCAUUAGCUAGUUGGUAAGGUAACGGCUUACCAAGGCAACGAUGCAUAGCCGACCUGAGAGGGUGAUCGGCCACACUGGAACUGAGACACGGUCCAGACUCCUACGGGAGGCAGCAGUAGGGAAUCUUCCGCAAUGGGCGAAAGCCUGACGGAGCAACGCCGCGUGAGUGAUGAAGGUCUUCGGAUCGUAAAACUCUGUUAUUAGGGAAGAACAUAUGUGUAAGUAACUGUGCACAUCUUGACGGUACCUAAUCAGAAAGCCACGGCUAACUACGUGCCAGCAGCCGCGGUAAUACGUAGGUGGCAAGCGUUAUCCGGAAUUAUUGGGCGUAAAGCGCGCGUAGGCGGUUUUUUAAGUCUGAUGUGAAAGCCCAUGGCUCAACCGUGGAGGGUCAUUGGAAACUGGAAAACUUGAGUGCAGAAGAGGAAAGUGGAAUUCCAUGUGUAGCGGUGAAAUGCGCAGAGAUAUGGAGGAACACCAGUGGCGAAGGCGACUUUCUGGUCUGUAACUGACGCUGAUGUGCGAAAGCGUGGGGAUCAAACAGG